rnacentral:lncRNA from 1 species
ACUGGAUAAAAGUGAGCUGGUACAGAAAGCCAACUCACUGAGCAGGCUGAGCGCUAUGAUGAUAUGGCUGUAGUCACGAAGGCAGUCACAGAACGAGGCAUGAAUACUCCAACGAAGAGAGAAAUCUGCUCUCUGUUGCCUACAAGAACAUGGUUGGUGCCCGCUGCUUUCCUGGCAUGUCUUCUCCAGCAUUGAGCAGAAAACAGAGGAAUGAGAAACAGCAGCAGAUGGGGAGAGAGUAGCAUGAGAAGAUAGAGGCAGAACUGCAGGACAUCUGCAAUGACGUUCUGGAGCUGUUGGACAAAUAUCUUGUUCUCAAUUCUAUACAACCAUUUUCUAUUUGAAAAUGAAAGGAGAUUAUUUUAGGUAUUUUUCUGAAGUGGCAUCUGGAGACAACAAACAAACCACUGUGUGGAAUUCCCAGCAGGCUUACCAGGAAGCAUUUGAAAUUAGUAAGAAAGAAGAAAUGCAGCCUACACAUCCAGUUUGACUUGGUCUGGCACUUAAUUUCUCAGUCUUUUACUAUGAGAUUCUAAACUCUACUGAAAAGGCCUGCAGCCUGGCAAAAACAGUAUUUGAUGAAGCAAUUACUGAAUUGGAUACACUGAAUGAAGAGUCUUAUAAAGACAGCACUCUGAUCAUGCAAUUACUUGGGACAGUGUUACUCUGUGGACAUCGGAAAACCAGGAAGAUGAAGGAGAUGCUGGGGAGGG